rnacentral:rRNA from 1 species
UACGAAGGGUGCAAGCGUUAUUCGGAAUUAUUGGGCGUAAAGGGCGCGUAGGCGGCCUCGUAGGUCGAAGGUGAAAUCCCCGAGCUUAACUCGGGAACUGCCUUCGAUACUGCUUGGCUUGAGUUCGGGAGGGGAGAGCGGAAUUCCCAGUGUAGCGGUGAAAUGCGUAGAGAUGUGGAGGAACACCGAUGGCGAAGGCAGCCCCCUGGGCCAAUACUGACGCUCAUGCACGAAAGCGUGGGUAGCAAACAGGAUUAGAUACCCGUGUAGU